CACGUAGGGCGCAAGCGUUGUCCGGAAUCAUUGGGCGUAAAGCGCGUGUAGGCGGUUCGGUAAGUCCGCUGUGAAAGUCGGGGGCUCAACCCUCGGAUGCCGGUGGAUACUGUCGGGCUUGAGUACGGAAGAGGCGAGUGGAAUUCCUGGUGUAGCGGUGAAAUGCGCAGAUAUCAGGAGGAACACCAAUUGCGAAGGCAGCUCGCUGGGACGUUACUGACGCUGAGACGCGAAAGCGUGGGGAGCAAACAGG
rnacentral:rRNA from 1 species